UAAGUCCGCCAGAAUUUGCCCGUCAACCCCGGAGCACGCCAGUCAGGCCCGCUCGUGUGGACAGGCCUUAGGAUUUAGAUAAUGCUAUAGGCUACUUGACAUUCUAUCUGACAUUUAAUUCAAUAUCAGAAUUGGAUAAAUGGUAAUUUUUGUGUUUUUUAUGAAAAAUAUAUGGAUUAAGUUAAUAAAAAUGUUACUAAUGCUCAAGUGCAUGGUUAUUCUUGAGAAGAGCGUUGUUCCUUAUGUUCUUCGACACUGGCCAAAACUUCCCGUUUUCACAAAUUGUUUUAGUAUUCAGUACAAGGCCAGUGUAACUAUGGCUGGCUCUUGGCUGCCGUGCGUAACUGUUCGUGCCAUAAGUUUUAUGUGACGGGUGUAAAACUACUCUAGUCAUCGCUUCCACUGAUAAAUGUCCCUCUCCACAAGACAAAACUUGGCUGAGAGAGCAGAUUACUAAGAAUGGGAAUGAGACAAGAGGAAAUGUGUUGUCCUUUGGGCCUAUCUUUGGAUCACCCAACCGCAAGGGCUACAAGAAAUUGAAAGCGAGCGCAUCCUUCCGAGGAAACUCUCUAAGCUGGACUAUCUUCUAGACUAAUAACAGGGUUCGCGGCUCCCUUGGAAAUAGCUGACGACCCCCAGGUGAAGAACUGCUGGACUAAAUGAUAUCUCGAGAUUGCAACUGGUGCAUAUAGGAAUUAUUUUCUUCUUCGAACUACUGGAGGUGUGAAAUGUGGCCAAGGCUUUCAAAGGUAUGCCAUGGUGAGGAAAACGGUUUCAUGACGAUACGAAUCAGUCCUUCUUUGACUUGGCUUGAGUAAGGUUUUGUCAUUAAGUACUGUCGAACUCUGAAAAGGCGUAGAAUUAUUCUAGGAGAGUAUCUGUUUGGGAUAAUCCGGCAGCUUUGUACGCUGGGAAUCUGAAAGAUCAUUUUGGAAAAGCCCUG